rnacentral:rRNA from 1 species
CAGCCGUAAACUAUGCUCGCUAGGUGUCAGGCAUGGCGCGACCGUGUCUGGUGCCGCAGGGAAGCCGUGAAGCGAGCCACCUGGGAAGUACGGCCGCAAGGCUGAAACUUAAAGGAAUUGGCGGGGGAGCACAACAACGGGUGGAGCCUGCGGUCUAAUUGGACUCAACGCCGGACAACUCACCGGGGACGACAGCAAUAUGUAGGCCAGGCUGAAGACCUUGCCUGAAUCGCUGAGAGGAGGUGCAUGGC